rnacentral:rRNA from 1 species
GAUGAACGCUGGCGGCGUGCCUAAUACAUGCAAGUCGAGCGAACGGACGAGAAGCUUGCUUCUCUGAUGUUAGCGGCGGACGGGUGAGUAACACGUGGAUAACCUACCUAUAAGACUGGGAUAACUUCGGGAAACCGGAGCUAAUACCGGAUGAUAUUUUGAACCGCAUGGUUCAAAAGUGAAAGACGGUCUUGCUGUCACUUAUAGAUGGAUCCGCGCUGCAUUAGCUAGUUGGUAAGGUAACGGCUUACCAAGGCAACGAUGCAUAGCCGACCUGAGAGGGUGAUCGGCCACACUGGAACUGAGACACGGUCCAGACUCCUACGGGAGGCAGCAGUAGGGAAUCUUCCGCAAUGGGCGAAAGCCUGACGGAGCAACGCCGCGUGAGUGAUGAAGGUCUUCGGAUCGUAAAACGCUGUUAUUAGGGAAGAACAUAUGUGUAAGUAACUAUGCACAUCUUGACGGUACCUAAUCAGAAAGCCACGGCUAACUACGU